AGAGCGAACGCUGGCGGCAGGCCUAACACAUGCAAGUCGAGCGGAAAGGCCCUUCGGGGUACUCGAGCGGCGAACGGGUGAGUAACACGUGAGCAACCUGCCCUUAGCUCUGGGAUAGCUCCGGGAAACCGGAAUUAAUACCGGAUAUUACACCGGCUGGCAUCGGCUGGUGUGGAAAGAUUUAUCGGCUAAGGAUGGACUCGCGGCCUAUCAGCUUGUUGGUGGGGUAGAAGCCUACCAAGGCGACGACGGGUA
rnacentral:rRNA from 1 species